CAAUAGCGUAUAUUAAAGUUGUUGCGGUUAAAAAAGCUCGUAGUUGGAUUUCUGCUGAGGACGACCGGUCCGCCCUCCGGGUGAGCAUCUGGUUCGGCCUUGGCAUCUUCUUGGUGAACGUAUCUGCACUUGACUGUGUGGUGCGGUACCCAGGACUUUUACUUUGAGGAAAUUAGAGUGUUUCAAGCAGGCAUACGCCUUGAAUACAUUAGCAUGGAAUAAUAAGAUAGGACCUCGGUUCUAUUUUGUUGGUUUCUAGAGCUGAGGUAAUGAUUAAGAGGGACAGACGGGGCGGUCCGUCACUCUGCGUUCAGUAGGUGAAAUUGCUUAUGGUAGUCGGCGGAAGACGAACUACUGCGAAAGCAUUCGCCAAGAAUGUUUUUCUUUAAUCAAGAGCGAAAGUCAGAGGUUCGAAGACGAUUAGAU
rnacentral:rRNA from 1 species